CCCACACCUGCUCUGCGCCUCUCACUGUGAGCAACUCCAGAGUGGAAGAGAGUCCAACCCCUCUCGAGAGAACUGGUACCAGAACCCAGGCUGUGUGUGGAGGCAAGUCCGACUAUAUCCAGUCGGAACUUCUCUGCCUCACACACCAGCUCGGGCUCCUUCCCUGCCAGAGAGGUGACAUUCCAUGUCCCAAGAGCUAGCUUCUGCAGCCGAGGAUCAGACCGCCAGGGUCCCCGCCUUUGGCUGCCGCCCAGCUCGCAUUGCACCCGACCCCUUUGACCCCUCCCAUGGGUGGUGAGACCAUGAGAAGGGGGACCCACGUUGCCUCUUCGGGCUGAGCCCGGCCGGGCCCCAUGGGUGUAGGCCCGGCCACCAGGCGCUCGCCAACGAGCCCCACCUCCAGGCCUGGCUCCAGAGGGGGGUCCUGGUGA